AAAUACAUUACAUUUCCCAAAAAAAUUUUGAAAUGCAAGUUCACUCACCAGUCUUUAUUGAUGUUUUGGUGGGCUCUAGCUUCGACUAAUGUUCCGAAUGGAGGUGUAGGGUUUCGUUGGAACCUAUCACACACAACAACAUCACCAUCAACCUAACUUGGCAUUAUUACUAUUCCACAGCUAUUUUCUAAAUUGGGUUCUACUAGUCAUUCCUAACUAGUUUCCAACUACUAUUAAAUGGCUAUUAUUUGCACCAUCCUAAUCACUUUAAAAUGAAUAAACAACCUCAACUACAAAACAUUCCCAAGUCUUAUCACUAGCUAUUCUCAAUACUUAAAUAUCAAAUUCUAAUUCCCUACUCACCUUGGUAGCUUCGUAGUUGAAUCUCUUUCCAAAAAUUUCAAGCUAUUAUGGAAGCUCCCUCUUUCUCUCUCUAAACACUUAGCUAGUGAAAGAAAGUAUGGAAGUAAGAUUUUUUUUUUCAAGGGUUUUAAAGUGAGAGAGUAAAAGAGCAUAAAGGUUCAAUGAAAGGGUGUACAAAAGCAUGAAAAGUGGAGCUAGCUUGAAAGAGUUAUGGAAGCUUAAAGAAAACUCCCAUGGAGGAUGAAGAAACGUGAGAAGGAAGAAGGAAGAAAAAGAAGAAG
rnacentral:lncRNA from 1 species